rnacentral:rRNA from 1 species
AGCAGCACCACCUUCUAGCCGAUCUCCCCAGAUCUCGGGAGUUAAGCAAGGCUGGGCCUGGUCAGUACUGGGAUGGGAGACCUCCACGGAAAUCUAGGUUGCUGCUG